rnacentral:rRNA from 2 species
ACCCGCUGAACUUAAGCAUAUUAAUAAGCGGAGGAAAAGAAACUAACCAGGAUUCCCCUAGUAACGGCGAGUGAAGCGGGAUGAGCUCAAGCUUAAAAUCUCUGUGCAAGUUUUGCAUGGCGAAUUGUAGUCUAUAGAGGCGUUGUCAGUGCAGGCAUUUGGGGUAAGUUCCUUGGAAGAGGACAGCAUCGAGGGUGAUACUCCCGUUUGUACCUGAGUGCUUUGUGCGUACGACACGUUUUCUUUGAGUCGCGUUGUUUGGGACUGCAGCGCAAAGUAGGUGGUAAAUUCCAUCUAAAGCUAAAUAUUGGUGCGAGACCGAUAGCGAACAAGUACCGUGAGGGAAAGAUGAAAAGAACUUUGAAAAGAGAGUUAAAGAGUACCUGAAACUGCUGAAAGGGAAGCGAAUCGUAUCCAGUGUCUAUAAUCUGUGGCAUAUUUCAUUGGCGUGCGUGCGCGUACUGUGUAUAGGAAGUGACGUUCGUUGCUCUUUGCGCGGUUCUGUGUGUGUCUGCUGGUGCCCUGUGUCAUGGUGGGACGUCAGAGUCAGUUCGUAUACUGCGGGAAAUGGCUAUUGAGGAGGUAGGUCAGGAGCUUGCUCUUGGCUGUUAUAUCUUGAUAGCUAGUGGUCGUGGUUGGGACUGAGGUGCCUACAACGUGCUUUGGGGUCUGGUGGAUUCUUGCUUGGCGCACUACUUGGAUAGCUUGCUAUGCUGGCGGUGUUGUUGGGUGAUUGAGUCUGUUUGUAACCUGUGCCGUUCGGGACUUUGACGAAAUGGAGCGAUUCGGCCCGUCUUGAAACACGG